AUCACGCCGGCUGCUGGCAGUUAACCUUGGCCCCAGCACAGCCGCCCCGUUGGGAGUUCGGGAGGCCCAGGCGCGUCCUCGAGACCCCAGGCCAGGGCCGGGCGGCGCCGCGGAUCCUGCGGUCUGAGGCGGCGCGAUGGCCACACCCACCGGCUGAGUGGUGACAGCUCCCGCCGGGGAGGCGGGCACUGCCGACAGGUGCAGCCGCCCGUUAGGCCCCUCCCCGCCCGGGCCGGGCCCAGGUCUCGGCCUGUAGCCCUGGAGCGCCCCCGCCCGCACCACCUGUCGGGACGCCCCGCGCGCAGCCGGUGGCUGACGCCCCGCCCGGCUCCCGAUAAGCGGCCAGCGGCGGCAGCGCGAGGUCUCGGGGGGAUGAGAGCUUUACCGAAGGGUGGGUCCCACGCAGGCGGUGUCGGUGCUCUCGAUCUCCUGCAAGAUCCGCUCAUGCUCUGGGACGCUACCCAGACCCUCACCAUUCUCCGCCAUCUUGGCUGGAAGCUGAGGAGCCGGGAAUCAAAAUGUGACUGAUCUGAGCACAUACUGGCGUGGAAGAUCAAGGAAGAUCCGCUCAUCCAACUGCCCAUUCUACCAAGAAACCCCUCACAAGCCUAUUUCCACGAUCUCAGUGGGCAGAAGAAUCCAGAUCCUCUCUGGGAAAUCACACUUUCUCAAGAUGUAAGAAUACGCCACCACAACAAAAUGUCUUCCUGAGACCACCAGCACUGUCACACUGUUAAAAAUCUGACGUUCAGAGAGGACUUUUUUUUUAAUUUUGCAAUUCUGUAUAGUUCCCCUUGGAGUUCUGCAUGUGACUGAAAGAAAGGAGUUUUGAAACCAGACAAUGCUGAAGACAGGAAGCCAUUGGAAAGAAUUUAGGAUGAAUUAGAAAGCCUUCCAAAUAGUUUUGAGUAUAAGGCAGGGGUUUGAUUAAUCUGUGAUUGGCAACAAUUUGGAAUUAGAACAACAGCAAAUUGUAAAAGGAAAUGGCAGACGCUCUUCGCCCAAUCGACGUGCAGAAUUCAUUGCUCUGAAGAGUAAAGCAAGGUGCAGAGAAGUGGCACAGGCCGCCUUCUCAUUUGGCAGCCGUCUCCUGAUGGAGCAUUCCUUUCCUGAGCACUCGUUACCCAAGACCUUUUCCCCUUCUCUUCACCAAUCCUGACACCAUCUGCCCAGACCCAGCCCCUGUUCUGGGAAGCCCGCCCUGCAGUGGUGCACCUCACUCCAGGCCCAUUUCAACACCUGCUUCAACAUAAGCAGGAGCAUCUUCCCCUCAAGUCAAGUCAAGACAGAAGGAAGUCCAUUUACCACUUCUGCUUCCGAAACAGCUUUUGCUGGUUCCCUUUAUGACUUCUGACAUUUCCGUUAGCACCUGAAGUUUUUUGCUAAGAACUUAAAACUAAAUCUUCUAAAUAACUAUGUACAUUUAAAUUUUAGACAUAGAUAUAACAAAUGUAUAAAUGUGCAAAGAAAAAAAGCCUAUUCUAAUUCUAUUCUAAGUGAUACAUUUCUAAAAAGGCUGUGAUAUAAAGAAUUUCAGCUACAGGCCAAAAUAAAAGCCAUACUAGCUAUAUA